rnacentral:rRNA from 1 species
AACGAACGCUGGCGGCAUGCCUAACACAUGCAAGUCGAACGAGACCUUCGGGUCUAGUGGCGCACGGGUGCGUAACGCGUGGGAACCUGCCCUUAGGUUCGGAAUAACUCCCCGAAAGGGGUGCUAAUACCGGAUAAUGUCUUCGGACCAAAGAUUUAUCGCCUUUGGAUGGGCCCGCGUUGGAUUAGCUAGUUGGUAGGGUAAAAGCCUACCAAGGCGACGAUCCAUAGCUGGUCUGAGAGGAUGAUCAGCCACACUGGGACUGAGACACGGCCCAGACUCCUGCGGGAGGCAGCAGUGGGGAAUAUUGGACAAUGGGCGGAAGCCUGAUCCAGCAAUGCCGCGUGAGUGAUGAAGGCCUUAGGGUUGUAAAGCUCUUUUACCCGGGAUGAUAAUGACAGUACCGGGAGAAUAAGCUCCGGCUAACUCCGUG